UUGAACGCUGGCGGCAUGCUUUACACAUGCAAGUCGAACGGUAACAGGCCUUCGGGUGCUGACGAGUGGCGAACGGGUGAGUAAUGCAUCGGAACGUGCCCAAUCGUGGGGGAUAACGUAGCGAAAGUUACGCUAAUACCGCAUAUGCCCUGAGGGGGAAAGGGGGGGAUCGCAAGACCUCUCGCUUUCGGAGUGGCCGAUAUCAGAUUAGCUAGUUGGUGAGGUAAAGGCUCACCAAGGCGACGAUCUGUAGCUGGUCUGAGAGGACGACCAGCCACACUGGAACUGAGACACGGUCCAGACUCCUACGGGAGGCAGCAGUGGGGAAUUUUGGACAAUGGGCGCAAGCCUGAUCCAGCCAUACCGCGUGAGUGAAGAAGGCCUUCGGGUUGUAAAGCUCUUUCAGCCGGAAAGAAAUCGCACUGGUUAAUACCUUGUGUGGAUGACGGUACCGGAAGAAGAAGCACCGGCUAACUACGU
rnacentral:rRNA from 1 species